rnacentral:rRNA from 1 species
UUGGAGGGCAAGUCUGGUGCCAGCAGCCGCGGUAAUUCCAGCUCCAAUAGCGUAUAUUAAAGUUGUUGCAGUUAAAAAGCUCGUAGUUGAAUUUCGGGGUCAGUAGGUUGGUCAUGCCACUGGUAUGUACUGGUCUCACUGAUUCCUCCUUCCUGAUGAACUGUAAUGCCAUUAAUUUGGUGUUGCAGGGAAUCCGGACUGUUACUUUGAAAAAAUUAGAGUGUUUAAAGCAGGCUAACGCCUGAAUACAUUAGCAUGGAAUAAUGAAAUAGGACGUUCGAUCCUAUUUCGUUGGUUUCUAGGAUUGACGUAAUGAUUAAUAGGGAUAGUUGGGGGCAUUAGUAUUCAAUUGUCAGAGGUGAAAUUCUUGGAUUUAUUGAAGACUAACUACUGCGAAAGCAUUUGCCAAGGAUGUUUUCAUUAAUCAAGAACGAAAGUUAGGGGAUCGAAGACGAUCAGAUACCGUCGUAGUCUUAACCAUAAACUAUGCCGACUAGGGAUCGGAUGAUGUUAAUUUUUUAAUGACUCAUUCGGCGCCUUACGGGAAACCAAAGUGUUUGGGUUC